ensembl:lncRNA
CGAACAUCUCCUGAUCCCUGGCCAAGGCUCCCUCCAUCUGUGAUGCUCUCUUGAAGUCAUCUUCCUGCCAAGGGCCUGCCUCCCCAGUGGCUACUUGGAGAUUUUGGUUACCAUCUUGAUCCUCCUGGCUUUUUGGAUUCACUGCUAUGUUUGGGUCUAUUCCUUGAAACCUUACCUACAGAAUGUUUAAGCCCCAAAGCCUAUCUACCAGGUGGAUAAUUCUCCUACCCUAACAUUAGCCACACCCCACAGAAGAUGGAAAACCGCCAGGAUCAGUGGCUUUGAAGAUGAAAGGCCUG